UUUCCAGAGACUACCUCACAGGGUGGAUCCCUGUUCCGUGGACGUGUACCAAAUGACACCCUAAUUCCCUACAUAGUGCACUACUUUUGACCAGAGCCCUAUGGGUAGUGCACUACUUUUGACCAGAGCCCUAUGGGUAGUGCACUACUUUUGACCAGAGCCCUAUGGGUAAGUGCACUACUUUUGACCAGAGCCCUAUGGGUAGUAGUGCACUACUUUAGACCAGAGCCCUAUGGGUAGUGCACUACUUUUGACCAGAGCCCUAUGGGUAGUAGUGCACUACUUUAGACCAGAGCCCUAUGGGUAGUGCACUACUUUUGACNNNNNNNNNNUUUCCAGAGACUACCUCACAGGGUGGAUCCCUGUUCCGUGGACGUGUACCAAAUGACACCCUAAUUCCCUACAUAGUGCACUACUUUUGACCAGAGCCCUAUGGGUAGUGCACUACUUUUGACCAGAGCCCUAUGGGUAGUGCACUACUUUUGACCAGAGCCCUAUGGGUAAGUGCACUACUUUUGACCAGAGCCCUAUGGGUAGUAGUGCACUACUUUAGACCAGAGCCCUAUGGGUAGUGCACUACUUUUGACCAGAGCCCUAUGGGUAGUAGUGCACUACUUUAGACCAGAGCCCUAUGGGGGUAGUGCACUACUUUUGACCAGAGCCCUGUGGGUAGUGCACUACUUUUGACCAGAGCCCUAUGGGUAAGUGCACUACUUUUGACCAGAGCCCUAUGGGUAGUGCCCUACUUUUGACCAGAGCCCUAUGGGUAGUGCACUACUUUUGACCAGAGCCCUAUGGGGUAGUGCACUACUUUAGACCAGAGCCCUAUGGGUAGUGCCCUAUAUAAGGAAUGGGGCUCCAUUUGGGAUACGAACCCUGUUAGGAUGAUGACGAUGAUGCCGAUGCUUCCAUAGAUGCCAGUCUUGUUCUAAAUAUAAGCAAUGUUCUGGUGGACUCUGGGAUUGAUCUGAAGUCCAAUCUAAGGACUACGGACCGAUCAAAAUCAAAUCAAAUUUUAACUGUCAAAUACAAAACAUUUAGCAGAUGUU
rnacentral:lncRNA from 13 species